rnacentral:lncRNA from 1 species
ACAAGUUGAAUAGGAAUAGAUGUGAACUAACAAUGGGAUAUUAGAAGUGAGCAUUUUGUCCUUCAUGUCAAUUGUGCAGAUUUGGAUCAUCUUAGGAUGAGUGGGGCACUUUAAUUUAAUAUAUAUAUAUAUAUAUAUAUAUAUAUAUAUAUAUAUAUAUAUAUAUAUAUAUACAGUGGGGCAAAAAAGUAUUUAGUCAGCCACCAAUUGUGCAAGUUCUCCCACUUAAAAAGAUGAGAGGCCUGUAAAUUUUUUAUGAAUUUAUUUACAAAUUAUGGUGGAAAAUAAGUAUUUGGUCAAUAACAAAAGUUUAUCUCAAUACUUUGUUAUAUACCCUUUGUUGGCAAUGACAGAGGUCAAACAUUUUCUGUAAGUCUUCACAAGGUUUUCGCACACUGUUGCUGGUAUUUUGACAUUUGAUGACAUCAGUUCAUCUGAGGCAAAGGAGAAAUGGCUUUCAUCUUUACAACGGUAAGGAAAUACUUACAAAACCCAGGUGUACAAUAUAAAAAUGACUUCUGAAAUUAAAUGUUGACACUUAGGAAAAAAAAGUGUUAUCUAGAACCUAAAAGGGUUAUUCGGCUGUCCUCAUAGGAGAACCCUUUUUUGGUUCUAGGUUUUUUUUUUCUUUGGGGUUCUAUGUAGAACCCUUUUCACAGAGGUUCUACAUGGAACACAAAAGGGUUCUACCUGGAACUAAAAAGUGUUAUGCUAUGGGACAUCCGAGGAACCCUGUUGGAACAAUUGUUUCUAAGAGUGUAGGAUUAUGUAUCUACCUGAUGCAGGCACAUUAAGAUAUCAGACAUGUAUAGCACUAAUAUAUGCCUAUUUGCCACAGGCACAUCACCAAAUCCAAGAAAGUGGAAUAUCCCAGCAAUCUAACCAUGAAGGUUGUUCUCAUAAAUAUUGGAACUAGUGCAAUGACAACUGUGAAUGUGGACAAUAAUGACACAGGUACACAGGAUCGUCACCCAACAGUUAAGACUCACUGUGAGUUGUUGACACUAGUUAAUGUAGUCAUUAUGUCUUGGCUCUAUUAUUAGAUGUAAUCCAUAUUUUUGCUGUAUGG